ACAUCCAGAGAAUUUAGCAGAGAUGCUUUAGUGCCUUCGGGAACUCUGAGACAGGUGCUGCAUGGCUGUCGUCAGCUCGUGUUGUGAAAUGUUGGGUUAAGUCCCGCAACGAGCGCAACCCUUAUCCUUUGUUGCCAGCACGUAAUGGUGGGAACUCAAAGGAGACUGCCGGUGAUAAACCGGAGGAAGGUGGGGAUGACGUCAAGUCAUCAUGGCCCUUACGAGUAGGGCUACACGCGUGCUACAAUGGCGCAUACAAAGAGAAGCGACCUCGCGAGAGCAAGCGGACCUCAUAAAGUGCGUCGUAGUCCGGAUUGGAGUCUGCAACUCGACUCCAUGAAGUCGGAAUCGCUAGUAAUCGUAAAUCAGAAUGUUACGGUGAAUACGUUCCCGGGCCUUGUACACACCGCCCGUCACACCAUGGGAGUGGGUUGCAAAAGAAGUAGAUAGCUUAACCUUCGGGAGGGCGUUUACCACUUUGUGAUUCAUGACUGGGGUGAAGUCGUAACAAGGUAGGCGUAGUGCU
rnacentral:rRNA from 1 species